rnacentral:lncRNA from 1 species
AUCUUCUCCGAGUCUAACACCGUUCUCAAAUCCUUCUCAAAGUCUCCUAUUUUCGUCUUCCAGCAAAUUACAUCGUUCUUGCAUAACAGAUAACUCCGAUUUUAUUGUUUUCAGUUCCCUCGGUAUUUGCUGCUAUCGCAUGGGUGUGCUGGAAAGAAAGGAAUACGAGAGUUUUUUCUCAACAAAAAUGCAUCCAUUUCCGCUACAUCUCUGAAGAGGCUUUGUUUAUUCAAGGAUUGGUCCUCUCUUUGCGUCCAUAAGCUUCUUUCUGAAUCUGUCAAGAUUUGGGACAAAAUCAAAAAGCUCUCCUCGUCAUCAAUUGUUUUCUAAGCUGUCAGAUUUUCAGCAAGCUUUCUGGUUGGAGACCUGUCUCUAUGAUGUUCCCAUCCUAUGGUUCUCAGCUAUGAUGAUUCUCUUCUGUAUUGCUGCUGCUCUCUAGGAUGAUCACUUUUGAGCCCAUGAAGAUCUCUGUUUCUGUAAGAGUUUCCCUCUUGUUCACAAUUUCUCCAUGAUUCUCUUCUGUUUUUCAGAAGAUUGGUUCCCUUUCUG